GGCUGGCGUCCGUGUGUGGCGCGGCGUUCCGUGUGGCUUGAACUGUGUGAUGGUUGGCGUUGCCGAUUUCGCCAGGUCUUCUCCAUCUCUCCGCAAUUUGAGGCUGUCGGCUGGCUGCGGCUGUGUGGGACCGGAGUUUGUCUACGCUGUUGUUCGCUCUCUCCAGUCUCUCAGCAGCGUUUAACUGCGGCCUGUUGCUCUCCCUCUCCUCCCUGGCAGAGACGCUGUGCCUGUGCUCUGUGUUCUGUGGCAUGUUUUGGCCUGGCGGUGCGCUGUGGUGCUCCACUCUCCGGCGGUCAACGCUCCAGUGCACCAGGACUCUACUGCUGUCUUGUCUUGUUUUGUCUAUCGUCUUGCUACUGUUGCACAGCGGCCCUGUAUAUUGUUUGCUCCCGUCGUGGCAUCAACCAUGCCACCGUUCUGUUUUAUUCCUUUUGUUUACUGCCAGUGACUAUUUCAAGUGCCGUGCUGUAAUUGGCCAACCUCCCGCGCCACAGUGCGCUUGGACGAACUACGAUUGGCCACCCUUUGUGUCAGUUAUCAGUACACUCUGAUUCAUUUUUUUUUCUUUCAUAUUGUUUGUUGGUGUGAAUAUUGUGUUUGUUUGUUUUUUUUGAGUUUAUUACUAUUUGCUGUGCUUUAUCGUUUGUUUUCUUUAUUAACUUGUGUUCUUUUUCUUGUGUUUGAUGCUUUGUUUGAUUAUUCCAAAGUUUAAGUGUGUUUAACCAUUGCUUUAUUCCUUGAGUUGUUUUGAGCCCUUUUUGAAUUAUGUAAUUGCCUUGUUUCCUUUUUUUGUGUUGAGCAUACUAGUGCUGGCUAUCCCAAGUGAGAA